rnacentral:rRNA from 1 species
UACGUAGGGUGCGAGCGUUGUCCGGAAUUACUGGGCGUAAAGAGCUCGCAGGUGGUUUGUCGCGUUGUUCGUGAAAACUCACAACUCAAUUGUGGGCGUGCGGGCGAUACGGGCAGACUGGAGUACUGCAGGGGAGACUGGAAUUCCUGGUGUAGCGGUGAAAUGCGCAGAUAUCAGGAGGAACACCGGUGGCGAAGGCGGGUCUCUGGGCCGAUACUGACGCUGAGGAGCGAAAGCGUGGGGAGCGAACAGG